GACGCGAUGAUAAGUGCACACGGUGUUUCGUCGCUCCGUAUAAUUACAGAUUUCUAAGAAUUUCUACAUACAAAGCGUUUGGGUUAAGUCUGGGUUGCGUCUGGGUUGUAACUACUUCAUUCGAACUACUUCAUUUUCAACUUACUUCGAUAUCAACUUAUUUCAUUUUCAACUUCCUACAAAUCAUCCUUCUUCAAUGUGGAAUUACAUGGAGUACGAGUGUUUUGGAGCCAUCGCAGAACUUCUUAAGUAGUGAUCAUCGUUGGAUUUGUUAACAUCAAUCUUUUU